GACGAACGCUGGCGGCGUGCCUAAUACAUGCAAGUCGAACGCAGUGGGGACGGGUGAGUAACACGUGGGUAACCUCCCAUCAGAGGGGAUAAAAAUUGGAAACAGGUGCUAAACCGAUACAGAUGGAUGGACCCGCGGGUCAUUAGCUAGGUGGUGAGGUAACGGCUCACCAAGGCCACGAUGCAUAGCCGACCUGCGAUGGGGAGCUGCCACACUUGGACUGAGACACGUCCCAGACUCCUACGGGAGGCAGCAGUAGGGAAUCUUCGGCAAUGGCCGAAAGUCUGACCGAGCAACGCCGCGUGUGUGAAGAAGGUUUUCGGUUCGUAAAACUCUGUUGUUGUAGAAGCGGUAUCUAACCAGAAAGCCACGUCUAACUACGUGCCAGCAGCCGCGGUAAUUC
rnacentral:rRNA from 1 species